rnacentral:lncRNA from 10 species
AUUUUCAAAGAUCUCUUCUAGUCUGAUAUCAUUUGCUGAGUAAAGUGACUAUUCUGUUUCACAAUAGAACCAGGCUUUGACAGAGUAACUACAGCAGAACUAUAAAGAAAGAUCUAAGAGCUAGAGUUAGAACUAGAAUGACUUUUAAUGGGGCAUGGAGUAAGUGAAGUUUCUUACUCUCUUUCAUCAUCUGAGAGGAAGGCAGAACUUAGAAUAUUGGAAGCAUAAUAGAGAUGUUUUGUACCACAAGAGAUGGUCCAAAACAGAACCCAACAUUUGGAAAUACAAACAAAGGGUAAAAUGAGUUCCCCAAAUAUUGACAAAUGGAGCAUAUAAACUGCUGGUUUAUCUCAGAGCAAUUGACAUAGAUAGUUAUGGCUGGCCACAAGGACCUUUCAAUCCACUGUUUCUUCUUCCUUCUGGGAUUCUCUGAUAAGAAAGCACCUGAUGCCCCACCACCUUUAAGGCUUGGCUGAGAAGUAGCAUUAAACUUAGACUUGGCAGGCUGCUGGGUGCUUCCUACUGCACUCCUAUCCCUCUCUGCCACAAUCUGUCCCUCUACCCAACCAUGUUUACUCUCAUAUACACCAGUAGUAUUCCUGCAUCCUGAUGAAGAAUGGCCUAUUCAAUGACUUAGUUUCUGACUAGUUUGCUUAAUAAUUAUUGCACCCUUGCAGAAUAGGAGAGAGUAGUCAGAGGCACAUGCUUGGGUGGACAUUGUAUCCUCUGUGAUAAGAAAUUGAAAAAUAAGAAUGAAGUAUACAUGCUUCAGAAGUAGGAACUUGGUUUGAUAAAUAGACAAGGUAGAACUAACCACUAUGAUAAGUGAGAUUGGCAAAGAGUGUCACAACACUGAGCUUCAAAUUAUUGAUCUGGAGUUACCUUGAAUGUGGUCAAGACCAGUUUUAAAGAUCAAAAUAAAAUUGAGCUUGAAUUUAUAGCAAAAGUGGAACAAAUAGGGCAUUGUAUAAAUUGCAUUUUAAUUUAGUCAAAGGAGUAAAAUAAAUAGAUAGGACUCGAAAGCAUCUGGAAAAUGCAUCAGUGGCAAACUUAAGUAAGUUACCGAAGCAUAAUUUCAUGUGUUUGCCCCUGAACAUCUUGGUUACAUACAUCAAAUUUCUCUUGUUUUGUGAGGAAUUGAUUUAGACCAGGGGUCCUCAAACUUUAGCAUGCAUCUAAAUUGCUUGAAGAGCUCAUUAAAACACAGAUUUCUUGAGGUCCACCCCCAGAGUUUCUGAGUUAGUAGGUCUGGGGUGGAGCUUGAGGAUUUGCAUUUCUAAGUCCUUGGAUGAUGCUCUUGCUGCUAGCCUGGGCAUCAUAAUUUGAGUCAUUGAAUGCUAAUUUUUUAGUAAUGCUAAAAAAUACUCUUAAAUCUUAAUUUCAGGAAAGGUUACACUACCAGAAUUGAAUGUUGACAUCAUGAUGUUUAACAAAUUCCACAAAGAUAAAAUAUUAAAACUUGUUCUUUUAGGCAUGAUUUUCCUUCUUUACCAUCUCUUAUAAAACCUGUCUCUCAUGCACAUUAUUAAACACAUAUUUGAUGAGCCCCAGUUUAUUUAAUUGUAUAGGGAAAGAUACUAUAUGCUCUUGUUUGCUAGUUCUACACACACACACACACACACACACACACACACACACACUUCCUAGGACCUAUAUUUGGUUAAACGAGAUUAUAUUGGAGAGAAACCACACUUCUUCCAUCUUCAAGCUUAGAAAUAAUUUCCCGCAUAAAAUGUUCCCUCUUCAACUUGUGCAAAGUUAAUUUAUUUGCCUUAUUGAAAUUUGAAGGUUUUGCUUACUUAGCCGUAAAAUGAUAUGUGC